GAGACCGGGGCGGGGCGAGCCGGGGCAGGCCCGGACUGGAAGAGUAGGGGUCCGGACGCUGCAGCAGGCGGGGCACCCGGACUGGCGGCUUCGCUGGCGCAAGGUCGGUCCGGCGGCCAGGGACCUGGAAGGCUGCGAGGCCCUGCGAAGUCGAGGUUCGGAGUUUGCUGGUCCCAGGCCCGGCCCGAGGUAAGAAAGAGCCGCCUCCCCGCACGGCCGGAGGACCCGGGCGCCCCGAGUUCGACUUCUCAACCUCCGUCCGGACGGGAAACGGAGCACGGAGAUGUUCCUGAGGUCUCUUCCCUGGGAAGCGCAGCCCCGAUUUUCCGCCCCUGUCCCUUAGCAGGUCGCCGACCAUCCGAGCGCUGGGCAUCGGCCCACGCGUACAGAAGGCGCUCAAUAAAUGCUCACUAGUGAAUCAGUAAAAUAAAUCGGCAGCAAAGAGAGACGAGACGCGUGCUGAUCUUCAGGUGUUGGGGAAAUCAGGGACGCGAACAUUUAUUGAGCUCUUAUUGUAUACCCCGUCGGCCAGCAUUUGUGUCCAUUUCACACAUGAGGAAUAAGAGGCCCAGAGAGGUGAAGUGACUUCCUUAAGGCCACACAGAUAAGAUAGUAAGUGGCCGAGACGAAUUUGAAACCAGGGGUGUCCUGUUUCAACUUGGUGCCAAAUAGAGUAACUCGGACUCCAGUUGGAGGGGUUCGGGAGAACCAUAGAAGAGGAAGGGCCGUGUCUUCCGUGGACAGGCCACCGGAGCCACCAGCUGUUUGGAACUGAGCUACUGCAGAAAGGGAAGUGGAGAGUAAGGGCCAGGCCCCGUGGGGGCAGAUGGCCGGCAGAUGGCUGAAUCUGCACUGGGCACUGAGUGUGCUUUGUGUGCUGCUAAUGGCGGAGACAGUGUCUGGGACUAGGGGCUCGUCUACAGGAGCUCACAUUAGCCCCCGGUUUCCAGCUUCAGGUGUGAACCAGACCCCUGUGAUAGACUGUCGCAAGGUGUGUGGCCUGAAUGUCUCUGACCGCUGUGACUUCAUCCGGACCAACCCUGACUGCCACAGUGAUGGGGGGUACCUGGACUACCUGGAAGGCAUCUUCUGCCACUUCCCUCCCAGCCUCCUCCCUCUGGCUGUCACUCUCUACGUUUCCUGGCUGCUCUACCUGUUUCUGAUUCUGGGAGUCACCGCAGCCAAGUUUUUCUGCCCCAACUUGUCGGCCAUUUCUACCACACUGAAGCUCUCCCACAACGUGGCAGGCGUCACCUUCCUGGCAUUUGGGAAUGGUGCACCUGACAUCUUCAGUGCCCUGGUGGCCUUCUCUGACCCGCACACAGCCGGCCUGGCCCUUGGGGCACUGUUUGGUGCUGGCGUGCUGGUUACCACAGUGGUGGCCGGAGGCAUUACCAUCCUACACCCCUUCAUGGCUGCCUCCAGGCCCUUCUUCAGGGACAUCAUUUUCUACAUGGUGGCUGUGUUCCUGACCUUCCUCAUGCUCUUCCGUGGCAGGGUCACGCUGGCAUGGGCUCUGGGUUACCUGGGCUUGUAUGUGUUCUAUGUGGUCACUGUGAUUCUCUGCACCUGGAUCUACCGACGGCAACGGAGAGGAUCUCUGUUCUGCCCCAUGCCAGUUACUCCAGAGAUCCUCUCAGACUCCGAGGAGGACCGGGUAUCUUCUAAUACCAACAGCUAUGACUACGGUGACGAGUACCGGCCGCUGUUCUUCUACCAGGAGACCACGGCUCAGAUCCUGGUCCGGGCCCUCAAUCCCCUGGAUUACAUGAAGUGGAGAAGGAAAUCAGCAUACUGGAAAGCCCUCAAGGUGUUCAAGCUGCCUGUGGAGUUCCUGCUGCUCCUCACAGUCCCUGUCGUGGACCCGGACAAGGAUGACCGGAACUGGAAACGGCCCCUCAACUGUCUGCAUCUGGUUAUCAGCCCCCUGGUUGUGGUCCUGACCCUGCAGUCGGGGACCUAUGGUGUCUAUGAGAUAGGUGGCCUUGUUCCCGUCUGGGUCGUGGUGGUGAUCGCAGGCACAGCCUUGGCUUCAGUGACCUUUUUUGCCACAUCUGACAGCCAGCCCCCCAGGCUUCACUGGCUCUUUGCUUUCCUGGGCUUUCUGACCAGCGCCCUGUGGAUCAACGCGGCCGCCACAGAGGUGGUGAACAUCUUGCGGUCCCUGGGCGUGGUCUUCCGGCUGAGCAACACUGUGCUGGGGCUCACGCUGCUGGCCUGGGGGAACAGCAUUGGAGGUGACUCAGGGCUGGGUGGGGUUGAGUGGGGGUGAGUGCGGCCACAUCUUAGCUCUUUCCUCCCCCAGCCAGAGUCGCAUCUGGGCAGGAGUGUCCAGGGUGUCUGCCCUCUGCACCUGUGCAGUGUCCCCUGUCACUGUGGAGUGGCCAGCAUUGGGAUGCCUUCUCGGAUUUCACACUGGCUCGCCAGGGCUACCCACGGAUGGCGUUCUCCGCCUGCUUUGGCGGCAUCAUCUUCAACAUCCUCGUGGGUGUGGGGCUGGGCUGCCUGCUCCAGAUCUCCCGAAGCCACACAGAAGUGAAGCUGGAGCCAGACGGACUGCUGGUGUGGGUCCUGGCAGGCGCCCUGGGGCUCAGCCUCGUCUUCUCCCUGGUCUCAGUCCCAUUGCAGUGCUUCCAGCUCAGCAGAGUCUAUGGCUUCUGCCUGCUCCUCUUCUACCUGAACUUCCUUGUCGUGGCUCUCCUCACUGAAUUUGGAGUGAUUCACCUGAAAAGCAUGUGACUGAAGCCGCUUAGUGCUGUGGCCUCACUGCAGGCAGGAGCCCCGCCCCUCCUGCCGGGGGAGGCCCAGGGACUGGAGCAUUUCUGCAAGGCCCUUGUGGGCACCAGAGUGCGGCCCUUGCUGCUGGAGAUCUGAGGUCACUGCUGUGAGCUGGGAGAACUGCUGUGUACCUCUUGCUGUCAGCACCCAACAGCCUUGCCAUGGGGACCUUGGAAACCUGGCUUUGCUCUGGACAAAGGGUUCCAGAGAGAAGCUAGAAGGCCCCCUUGAAUGACCCCCAGAGCCCCUCUGAGAAGGGCUGGCUGGAUGUGCUCCAGGCCAUGCUGGAGGUACCCCUGAGGCACAGGCACUGCCCGUUCCCCUUGCCUGGGCUUCAGGCCUUCUGGCACCUUCUCAGGACACAAGUGGCUGCCCAACCCUGACUCAGAGAACGAGGGUGGCUUGGACCCCUGGGAAUCAGGCCGCCGAGGGCUGAGCUCCAGAGCUGCACCAUCUGCCAGAAACAGAAUUUGAGACAUACUUAAUUUUGAAUUUCUCCUUGCCACGUUAAUAAAGCCAAAAGCAGCGGGUGCUAUUCGUGGCAACACACUUCACUGAACCCACUUGCUCCCAAAACGAUGCCAGCCCGAGGCACUGCUACGCCAGCAGCUGCCACAUGGGAUGGUGGCUCAGGCGCUCCCUCCAGGAUUCUGCCCCUGACUGUCCACAGACUCCUUUGUGCUGGAACCUGGGCUCCUCCAGCUGCCAGGCAGGAGUCGGUAGGACUGUGCCUGUGCCUCCCUCAGGGGGGCCCUGGGUGGGGUUCCAAGGCCUGCGAGCUGGGAAAGGACAGAUGAGGGGACCUUGUGCCUUCUUGCUGUCAUGCAAUGACCCCGCCUUAUGUUGCCGAAAUAAGCAACUCUUAGGUUUGCCUGACUGCCUUAUGCUGGUAAAGAAAGGGAUUCAACUGUCUCUUUUCCAAAUAAAAAAAAAAUUCAAAAUUUCAA